GACGAACGCUGGCGGCGCGCUUAACACAUGCAAGUCGAACGGAAAGGCCUGCUUUCCCUUGUGGAUUGCGGGUACUCGAGUGGCGAACGGGUGAGUAACACGUGAGUGAUCUGCCCCCAACUUGGGUAUAAGCCUGGGAAACUGGGUCUAAUUCCCGAUAGGACUGCAGGGUGGUGCCUGUGGUGGAAAAUGAUUUUCUAGUGGUUGGGGAUGAGCUCGCGGCCUAUCAGCUUGUUGGUGGGGUAAUGGCCUACCAAGGCGGCGACGGGUAGCCGGCCUGAGAGGGUGGACGGACACAUUGGGACUGAGAUACGGCCCAGACUCCUACGGGAGGCAGCAGUGGGGAAUAUUGCACAAUGGGCGGAAGCCUGAUGCAGCGACGCCGCGUGGGGGAUGACGGCCUUCGGGUUGUAAACUCCUUUCGACCGCGAGGAAGCCACCUGGUUGGAAGGGUGGUGACGGUAGUGGUAGAAGAAGCACCGGCUAACUACGUG
rnacentral:rRNA from 1 species